GAUGAACGCUGGCGGCGUGCCUAAUACAUGCAAGUCGAGCGAACAGACGAGGAGCUUGCUCCUCUGACGUUAGCGGCGGACGGGUGAGUAACACGUGGAUAACCUACCUAUAAGACUGGGAUAACUUCGGGAAACCGGAGCUAAUACCGGAUAAUAUAUUGAACCGCAUGGUUCAAUAGUGAAAGACGGUUUUGCUGUCACUUCUAGAUGGAUCCGCGCCGCAUUAGCUAGUUGGUAAGGUAACGGCUUACCAAGGCAACGAUGCGUAGCCGACCUGAGAGGGUGAUCGGCCACACUGGAACUGGGACACGGUCCAGACUCCUACGGGAGGCAGCAGUAGGGAAUCUUCCGCAAUGGGCGAAAGCUUGACGGAGCAACGCCGCGUGAGUGAUGAAGGUCUUCGGAUCGUAAAACUCUGUUAUUAGGGAAGAACAAAUGUGUAAGUAACUAUGCACGUCUUGACGGUACCUAAUCAGAAAGCCACGGCUAACUACGUG
rnacentral:rRNA from 1 species